rnacentral:rRNA from 1 species
ACUCCUACGGGAGGCAGCAGUGGGGAAUAUUGCACAAUGGGCGCAAGCCUGAUGCAGCCAUGCCGCGUGUAUGAAGAAGGCCUUCGGGUUGUAAAGUACUUUCAGCGAGGAGGAAGGCAUUGUGGUUAAUAACCACAG